GCAAUUCUCCCACCUCAGUCUCCCAAGUAGUUGGGACUACAGGCGUGCACCACGAUGCCCGGCUAAUUUUUGUAUUUUUUGGUAGUGACGGGGUUUCACCACAUUGACCAAGCUGGUCUCGAACUCCUGAUCUCAGUGAUCUGCACGCCUCGGCUUCCCAAAGUGAUGGAAUUACAGGCAUGAGCCACUAAGCCAGCCCACACUUCUUUCAAGCCUCAGAGAAACACCUUAGUAAGCUAAUGAAAAAGGAGGAGCAGGAGGAGGGACAAAAGCAGGAGAACCAGAAACCAAAUUUCCGUAAAGUAUCCUGAGACUUAUUGAUGAUGUUCAAACACUUUGAGUUCUAAUUGAUGGUUUUCCAGAUUUCAGAGACAGCACAGGCAGAAACUAAGUGUAUAUACCACUUGAUCAAGCUUACUGCGGAUUUAUUCUUGGAUAGCUAAAAUAAGGUAGUGGGGCUUGCACAGAAAACAUAUUUUUAAUUAAAAAAAAAGUUUCCAACAGUGAGUAACAUCUUCCUUCUCGGCUGACUGUGCCAGUGUCAGUCCCACGCCUGGGCCCAGGCUAGGCCGGGGCUCACCACACCACCCUCCACUGUGGUCCAAAGGAGAAAGCAGGGCCGUGUGUGGCAGGUGCGCAUCGUGUCAAAUUGGGG
rnacentral:lncRNA from 1 species